rnacentral:tRNA from 1 species
GGGCUGUAGCUCAGAUGGCAGAGCGUCCGCUUUGCAUGCGGAAGGUAACGGGAUCGAUGCCCGUCUGCUCC